rnacentral:rRNA from 1 species
CGUCAAAUCAUCAUGCCCCUUAUGACCUGGGCUACACACGUACUACAAUGGCCGGUACAAAGGGCCGCGAAGGAGCGAUCCGGAGCCAAUCCCCAAAAGCCGGUCUCAGUUCGGAUUGCAGGCUGCAACUCGCCUGCAUGAAGCCGGAAUUGCUAGUAAUCGCGGAUCAGCAUGCCGCGGUGAAUACGUUCCCGGGUCUU